rnacentral:rRNA from 1 species
UAGCCGGCCUGAGAGGGCGACCGGCCACACUGGGACUGAGACACGGCCCAGACUCCUACGGGAGGCAGCAGUGGGGAAUAUUGCACAAUGGGCGAAAGCCUGAUGCAGCGACGCCGCGUGAGGGAUGACGGCCUUCGGGUUGUAAACCUCUUUCAGCAGGGAAGAAGCGAAAGUGACGGUACCUGCAGAAGAAGCGCCGGCUAACUACGUGCCAGCAGCCGCGGUAAUACGUAGGGCGCGAGCGUUGUCCGGAAUUAUUGGGCGUAAAGAGCUCGUAGGCGGCUUGUCACGUCGGUUGUGAAAGCCCGGGGCUUAACCCCGGGUCUGCAGUCGAUACGGGCAGGCUAGAGUUCGGUAGGGGAGAUCGGAAUUCCUGGUGUAGCGGUGAAAUGCGCAGAUAUCAGGAGGAACACCGGUGGCGAAGGCGGAUCUCUGGGCCGAUACUGACGCUGAGGAGCGAAAGCG